UGUGUGCUUGGCAUUUCUGAGGGCACAUGAGACAGCAGGUGGAAAUGCCUUGGCAUGGCAGAAUCUGGAGGAUCUCUUCUCUCCUAGAAGUCCGGAGGUGCUGGAUGAAGGCCAGGAAGCUCUGGACGGCCUCGGCCUUGGACAGGUUUUCAGGCUCCAGAUUCUUUCUGAUGGACUCCCAGUGCUCCGCCAGCUGCAAAGCACAGCCCCGGGUGCAAGUCCCUUAGUUCUGAGCUCCCGAUUUACAGCCGCUAAUAUGUAAGACUGCUUCCCCUAUGGGGGGGGGGGGGGGGGGGGGGUUACGCUAGAGCUGGAUUUGCGCGACCUUGGACCAUUAGCCAUCUUGAGGUUUGGAUGUGUGGGUCCAGCAAUGACUGUGUUGUGACAAGCACACCCGAGGCCAGGCUUUGAGCACACUAGGGGAAGUGUGCGGAAGUUUCAUUAACAGCUGGGGACUUGGUGUUUGGGAAAGGCAAAGUGAGACCUGCCAGGGUCGUACUGCUUUCUAACUUGCUCGGACCUCACUGCAAAUCAAAGUUUCUUACGGCAUUGCUUGUGUGGAAUCCAAUGCCACGCUGUUGCUGGGAUCGCAACUGUUCAGAGUUUGUAUCUAUG
rnacentral:lncRNA from 1 species